GUGUUAGGGCACGACACCGGAGAGGGAGCCUGAGAACGGCUACCACAUCCAGGAUGGCAGCAGGCGCGCAAAUUACCCAAUCCCGACACGGGGAGGUAGUGACAAUAAAUAACAAUAGGGGGUUCUUUAGGAUCUCGUAAUUGRAAUGAGUACAAUUUAAAUCUCUUAACGAGGAACAAUUGGAGGGCAAGUCUGGUGCCAGCAGCCGCGGUAAUUCCAGCUCCAAUAGCGUAUAUUAAAGUUGUUGCAGUUAAAAAGCUCGUAGUUGAAUUUCGGGGUUAGUAGGUUGGUCAUGCCUCUGGUAUGUACUGGUCUCACUGAUUCCUCCUUCCUGAUGAACCUUAAUGCCAUUAAUUUGGUGUUUUKGGGGAAUUUGGACUGUUACUUUGAAAAAAUUAGAGUGUUUAAAGCAAGCUAACGCUUGAAUACAUUAGCAUGGAAUAAUGAAAUARGACCUUCGAUCCUAUUUUGUUGGUUUCUAGGAUUGAC
rnacentral:rRNA from 1 species